CCUCGGCGUCUUCCUGGAACACUGAGUCACAUGACUGCUGGAUCACAUGGUCCCAUCCAGCCACUAACCAUGAAGCUGUCAGGCCCCUCUCCAGGAGCCUGAGCUGGCUCAGCUGUGCCUGAGUGUACCAUCGCCCGACCGUGUCCGGAUCCUGUCCUCCGGUGAGAGAGCUCGAUCAGCGGCACAUCUUCAUUGAGAGGAGGGGGGAGGAGGGGGGAAGCCAGGGCAGGGUUGCAGGAGUUUUUCCCCAGCAGCGUUCGGCGGGUGAGGGGCCGGUCCGGAGGCCCGGAGCUGACGGCGUUACGUCAUGCCGUCACGUGAUGAGGAUAUACCCUCUAUAGGCGUGUCCUCGGACGUGGUUUGUGGCAUGCUUCUGACCACUAUGGUAAAGUAUAUCAUAAUACAGUAGGGGUCCAGGCCUGGAAAAUCCCCGACCAAUACUUUAUGCGAGGAGGCAGAUAUUUCCUGUAUGGAGCAUCGUGUGGGACAGGCUCCCAUGGAGUCCAGGUUGGGGUCCAGCAUAUAGGUAAACAGACCAGGUGCAGAUAAAUCUUUUCGUCUCAUCUUUCGGCUUUGGCAGCAGCAUCACCAGCGCAUGCGCAGAUACAAUUACCAGGGAGUCCAGCAUUAGUGCGUGCGCCGGUGGCUAUGUUCAUAGCACCGCCCAUGCAUGUUCACACAAAAGAGGAGCCAGGCGGAAGUACACACAUCUGCUGGCGGAAGUCUACCCUUUCACAUAGCACGCGCCCGGCACAGAGUGCACACAAGCAUGGACAUCACACCUGACAGGUGUCCAGUCUCAGCAACUUGUCCAGUCAUCAGACCCAGUGGUGAUAAAGCCCGGGAAUUCCUAUAGAGCCUCAUGUACGGCUUCUGGAUUCACCUUCAG